rnacentral:rRNA from 1 species
GAUCUAGGAGACUAGGUCCUUCAGUUCGGCUGGCUGGAACACAGGUGCUGCAUGGCUGUCGUCAGCUCGUGUCGUGAGAUGUUGGGUUAAGUCCCGCAACGAGCGCAACCCUCAUCUUUAGUUGCCAUCGGGUAAGGCCGGGCACUCUAAAGAAACCGCCGGUGAUAAGCCGGAGGAAGGCGGGGAUGACGUCAAGUCCUCAUGGCCCUUACAGGUUGGGCUACACACGUACUACAAUGGUGGUGACAGUGGGUUGCGAAGUCGCGAGACGGAGCCAAUCCCCAAAAGCCAUCUCAGUUCAGAUUGCACCCUGCAACUCGGGUGCAUGAAGUMGGAAUCGCUAGUAAUCGCAGAUCAGCACGCUGCGGUGAAUACGUUCCCGGGCCUUGUACACACCGNCCGUCACGCCAUGGGAGUUGGUUUACCCGAAGUCCGGUGAGCGAACCGCAAGGACGCAGCCAACCACGGUAAGGUUAAUGACUGGGGCGAAUCGUAACAGGGUAGCCGUAGGGGAACCUGC